rnacentral:rRNA from 1 species
AAUUGAAGAGUUUGAUCAUGGCUCAGAUUGAACGCUGGCGGCAGGCCUAACACAUGCAAGUCGAGCGGUAACAGGAAGAAGCUUGCUUCUUUGCUGACGAGCGGCGGACGGGUGAGUAAUGUAUGGGGAUCUGCCUGACAGAGGGGGAUAACUACUGGAAACGGUAGCUAAUACCGCAUAAUCUCUAAGGAGCAAAGCAGGGGACCUUCGGGCCUUGCGCUGUCGGAUGAACCCAUAUGGGAUUAGCUAGUAGGUGGGGUAAUGGCUCACCUAGGCGACGAUCUCUAGCUGGUCUGAGAGGAUGAUCAGCCACACUGGGACUGAGACACGGCCCAGACUCCUACGGGAGGCAGCAGUGGGGAAUAUUGCACAAUGGGCGCAAGCCUGAUGCAGCCAUGCCGCGUGUAUGAAGAAGGCCUUAGGGUUGUAAAGUACUUUCAGUCGGGAGGAAGGCGUUGAUAUUAAUACUAUCAGCGAUUGACGUUACCGACAGAAGAAGCACCGGCUAACUCCGUGCCAGCAGCCGCGGUAAUACGGGGGGUGCAAGCGUUAAUCGGAAUUACUGGGCGUAAAGCGCACGCAGGCGGUUGAUUAAGUUAGAUGUGAAAUCCCCGGGCUUAACCUGGGAAUGGCAUCUAAAACUGGUCAGCUAGAGUCUUGUAGAGGGGGGUAGAAUUCCA